CACGCAGUAAACGAUGAGUACUAGGGGGUGGUUUUAAUCACCCUUGCAGCUAACGCAUUAAGUACUCCGCCUGAGGAUUACGGUCGCAAGAUUAAAACUCAAGGGAAUUGACGGGGACCCGCACAAGCGGUGGAGCAUGUUGUUUAAUUCGAUGCUACGCGAAAAACCUUACCACCUUUUGACAUGUAUGCAAAAACUUCGUGAAAAUGGAGUGUGCUAGCAGCAAUGCUAGUGGCAUUCACAGGUGU
rnacentral:rRNA from 1 species